GGGAAUCUUGCGCAAUGGGCGAAAGCCUGACGCAGCGACGCCGCGUGCGGGAGGAAGCCCCUCGGGGUGUAAACCGCUGUCAGGAGGGAAGAAUGGCUGUCCGAGGAAAUGCGGGCAGUUUGACGGUACCUCCAGAGGAAGCACCGGCUAACUCUGUGCCAGCAGCCGCGGUAAUACAGAGGGUGCGAGCGUUGUUCGGAAUUACUGGGCGUAAAGCGCGCGCAGGCGGCCCUUUAAGUCUACCCGUGAAAUGCCGGAGCUCAACUCCGCGCACGCCGGGGGAUACUGGAGGGCUGGAGACAGGUAGAGGCAGGCGGAAUUCCGGGUGUAGCGGUGGAAUGCGUAGAGAUCCGGAAGAACGCCAGAGGCGAAGGCGGCCUGCUGGGCCUUGUCUGACGCUGAGGCGCGAAAGCGUGGGGAGCGAACAGGAUUAGAUACCCUGGUAGUCCACGCCCUAAACGAUGACGACUGGAUGUCGGAGGGGUCUGCCUUUCGGUGUCGUAGCUAACGCGUUAAGUCGUCCGCCUGGGGAGUACGGCCGCAAGGUUGAAACUCAAAGGAAUUGA
rnacentral:rRNA from 1 species